CAGAAAUUACCUCAGAUACAAGCUAAGCUCACACACGAAAAUCUAGAAUCUUUCUUUCCUCCCUCUCGGCUUCAAGCGCAGGUCGGUUGGUCCUGGUUCCUGAGUUGCGGCUGGAGUGGUGUUGUGGUGGGGUUGAUUUCGGUUGGUUGGAGUUGGAAAUGGCCACAGCUAGGAGAGGAAAAGGUGCGAUGGUCUCCUGGUCUCUUCCCUCAGCUUACGGACAGAACAGAAAGAAAGAAAUUGCAGCUUGCGGACAGCUCUUCUUGGUCGAUGAUUACAAGAUGGCAGCUCACAAGGUUGUCUCUCUCAUUUACUCUCGGUCUAAGGCAGAGGAAGAGAUGAGAUGUGGUUGUGGAGAGGAAGUGUUGUGGCUGCGGGGAAGUUGUGCAGAGGAAAUGGAAUGGUGAAGAGUGGCG
rnacentral:lncRNA from 1 species